GCAUGCGUAAGACUAGCAGAACACUUUUUAACAUAUAAUAUCUGAAAUUUAUGCAAAAUGUUCAUAAAAUAAUGUCGUGACACGUAUAAUUCCGUGCUGCUUCCGUUGAUUAGCUCGAAAGUGGACUCGAGUAACGUUUCCAUCUCUGAGAGAGGAAAAAAGAAGAGUUAAAAGGGUACACUCGCAGAUCCGCGGAAGCAACAUGUCCGCCCUCCGAUUGGCGUCCUCGCUGAUCUUUUGUUUACCAAGAAUUCUUGCGAGAGCGAAACCUUAAGAUGCCGGAGAAUUAACAACUCGAUAAUGACCAGUGCCGUGAAUAUACUAUCCCAUUGUCCCAACGAAUGAUGACGGAGCCGGAACUUUGCCGGCUGUGUGCCGAAACCAAAGAUACUUUCAUUGGGAUUUACGACGCCGAGGGCCAAAAGUUGGGGAUUGAGAGCAAAAUUGCUAAGUGUUUGCAAAUCCAGGUUGUUAUCACUGAUGGUUUACCGUUGUCGAUAUGCAUCGAUUGUUGCACCGUCUUAAAUCAAUGCAGUGAAUUCUAUGAGAAAACAAAUCAAGCGCAAGAUUCACUCCGCCAAUUAUUAAUAGACCCAAAGUCUGAACCGUCGCAAUUAGAGCCGAACCUAGACUAUGUGGAAAAAUCCAUAGAAUUUCCCAAAGAAGAAGUCACCGAGGGAAUUGUGAAUUGUCAUUUGCCUGAUAACUAUGUUAGCGAUUCGGUGAAUGAUAUUAGCGAUACUUACUUUAAUGAUGACAAUAAUGAAAGCGAUCCUGCCAAAUAUAAGAUAGAGGAAAUGCAGGAAGUUGUUAAAGAAAAGUCAUGUAAAACCUCGGAAAAGAAGAACUUGCCUAAGCAAACCAGAAGGAGACUGAAAAAGAAAACACAAGCACAAAAAAUGGAGGACUUGGAGUUGGACUUAACAUCUAAGUUGGAAGAAGAACAGGAUGACACGGAAAGUUUGAAAGUUAACAUAAAAAUUCCGGAGAAUUAUAUGACAGGUACCGAGUCAGACAUGAAAAUAAUAGAGGCUCGAGCUGCAGAACCUCCUAAACCUGGACGCAAGAGAGCAAAGGAUCUUGUUCGAUAUCCUUGGCUUUGUACCGAUUGCAAUGAUAAACUACCAAGUUUAGAAGCAUUAGAGGAACAUCAUGAAACAAUACAUAAUCAACAAGCAAAAUACAUGUGUGUUCAGUGUUGUAAAGUUUAUGAUAAGUACUAUGGAUUUCUUACACAUGUCAAACGGCAUAAAAACAAAUCAAAAUUCAAUUGUGAGGAUUGUGGAAAGUCCUUUGUUCACAAAAAGGUUUUAGAUUCACAUAAAAUCGUUCACAGUGAAGAGCGCCCACAUGUUUGUCAAACGUGUGGAAAAGCAUUUAGACAACAAAGUGCUUUGUAUAUACACAGUCGAUGUCAUUUACCAGAGACCAUGAAGAAUCGAUUUCCCUGUGAUCAAUGUGACAAAAGAUUUUCGACAAAACCUAAUCUAGUUACACAUAAACGUAUUCAUUCUGGCGUUAGAAAUUUUACCUGCGACCAAUGUGGUAAAAGUUUUAUACAGAAGGGAAAUUUGGAGGCUCAUUUCUUAACGCAUUCAGCUGAUAAGCCUUAUAGCUGUUCGCAAUGUUCGAAAGCAUUUAAGACACCAUUGCAAUUGAAAAAACAUGAAACAGUCCAUACGGGUGCUAAGCCACAUCAAUGUGCUGUAUGUGGACGCACAUUUAGAGAGAAGGGAACCUUGAGAGAACAUCAUAGAAUUCACACAGGAGCUAUGCCAUUUACGUGUGAAUUCUGUGGAAAGUGCUUCCGCUUCAAAGGAAUUUUAACAACACACAGGAGACAACAUACUGGUGAACGGCCAUACAGCUGCUUAGAGUGCCAGCAUCAUUUUACUAAUUGGCCGAAUUACAAUAAGCACAUGAAACGCAGACACGGAAUUAAUACAUCACAUACCAAACAUUUGCAACAAUCCCAACCGAUUCAGCAACAACAGCCACAGCCGAAUGCACAAGAAAGUCGUCCGGUUGCUGUAUCACAUACAACUCCAACAACGGUCCAAGUAAUCCAAACUGUGCCACAUGCAACAGUUGCCCAACCAAUUGUUGUGCAAACUAUUCCUACCACAGCUAUUCAAACUUUUCAGACGGACAUUCCAGUCACUGUUCAAGACACAGUGUUUCGAGAGCGAAACACUACAUACUUUAAUGCUGUCCCAGCUGCGUUGCAAAAUUUUUUACCCCCAAAUUUGCCAUAUAAUUUUUACAAUAUCUCAAACGUGACGGAGAAUGAUUUAAUUCAGCACAGAUAAGGUUAAGAGAGCAGUACUCUUUCAGAGACGAGUGAAAGGCGAAGGAUCGAAAGAUUGUUCAAAAGUGAACUUUUAUCUUCCAAAAACAGCUUUUGUGGAAAGAUAAUCGUGGAGAAGACGAUAUCCUGUACAAGAUGCGUCGUCCCAGGAUGUCUAUCGAAAAAACCAUUUAAAUCCAGCCAUCGCUUCCCAACGAAUCCAGAGAUGUUGAAGACCUGGCUGGAAGCUAUCGGAAAUGAAGCUUUGAAGAAUAUCGAGGGGA
rnacentral:misc_RNA from 1 species